rnacentral:lncRNA from 1 species
GUUUGCUUUAAAUCACUACAGUAAUGUUAGUAUCAUACAUUAAUUACCACAACAUGGGGACUAAAUGAUUAUCACUUAAAUUACAAGAGUAGCUUUACCUAUGUUAAUGACUUGAUAUCUGAGUAUAUAUUUCAUUGGUAAAUGUGUUUAGAUGUUCAUAAAUAGGAAUAUGGAAUGUUGUGCUAAAUGUACUUUUUUUUUUUAAAUCUCAUGAGUGGAAAUAUUGAUAACUAUUAAACUAGUAACUUUAAGGGUUUUGAUUUUGUGCAUGUAAUUGUUUACCCCUAAAAGGCAUUAAUAUGAUGACUGGAAUCUUCAGUGAAAGUGAUUUUUAUUGUAUCCCUAGGUUAUGAUAUCAAGUUUCAUUCUAAUUAAUGUACUAAUAUAUAAACUGUAAAUAAUAAGUUGUUCUACAAAUUUGUUUAAAAGAUCAAAGAUCAUAAGAUUAACUAACUAUAUAUAUUAAAAGGGUUUGAUUGAGUGUUGGUUGCUUAAUGUUCAGUGGCAUAUGAAAGGAAAUAAAAAUACAAGUAGGUAUAUACUGUAAAUUCAGAUAUUAUCAAAUGUUUUUUAUUAUAGCAAAUUUAAAAAAGGACAAAAAUGAGAGUAUAAAUUAUUGUGAUUUUAGGAAAAUCUGCAUACAGAUAUGUAUUUGAAUUCAAAAUGUGUUUUAUUAUUAUAUCUAUUACAUAAUUCACACAAUGGCAUUAA